rnacentral:lncRNA from 1 species
UCUAUAAUAAACUCUUUCUAUCAGUGUUAAAAAUUCUACGGGUAUAAAUUUUGCUCUUAUUCAAAUUCCCGCGAUACAAUAAAAUUCCAGUUCUUUUUAUAACACGUUAUCAACACGAUCACUCUGCGAUUCGGUAAAAUUUAUUUGUAUAAUUUAUACCCUGUUAUAAUGGUCGGUAUACCGCCUCUACUAUUAUUUAUAUCAUGUUAUAAUGGCCGGAAUACUGCCUAUAUUAUUUACUAGUAAUUUAAUUUAUUUAUUGGUCGGCCGAGCCACCUUAUAUUCUGUUUAUUAUUAAUUGGUCGGCUGAGCCGCCGUAUAAUUUAUUUAUUACUCUGCAUUGAUCGGCUGAGCCGUCGCAUGAUUUGUUGUCAUAACAUAAAUAUUUCAUUGUCAUAAUUUUUUACUUUUAUGAAAUUUUAUAGAUUUGAUUGACCGUUUAAUAUGAUAUUUCAGAUUAAUUUUUGGUGCACUCGAUUUAACCCCAACGGUCACAAAGAAAAUUUUUCAAAAAUUUAUCCUUUCUCAAACGGUCAUGAACAGUGAUUUUCAUAUAUAAAUACAACUCAUUUUCACUCCAUUUCAUCAUCCAAAACAUUUCAUCUUCUCUCAAAAAUUUCAAAUCGCUCUCCUCCGAUUUUUCAUUUCAAGAAAGAUGAUUCGCGCCCUUUUGUUUUUAUGUGCCAUUUUUAUUUGUGUUUCUAUUUAUGGUUUAUUCGUUGGAGAAUUUACUCCGAGUGAAUUUAAAAUGAAUAUCAGUUUAAUUUUCUUUACAUCGCUUCUCCUUGUAAUUGCUUGCAUGAUUAAUGUAAACGGUUCAUUUUAAUAUGAAUAAUAUUCUAAUAAUUUUUAUUUAUGUGCUUUAGAAAUACAAAUGGCAAACAUCGAGAAACUCCAGUUCCCGGCUCUGAAAGUAACCGGCGAAAACUAUGUCAGAUGGGUCACAAAUGUGAAACCUUAUCUUGUAAUAAAAAAGAUAACCUNNNNN